rnacentral:rRNA from 1 species
CGGGGGCUAAUACCCAAUGUGCUCGGUGAUUCGGUUCAUCGAGUAAAGCUCCGGCGCUUCGGGAGAGGCCUGCGGCCCAUCAGCUAGUUGGUAGGGUAACGGCCUACCAAGGCAGAGACGGGUAGGGGGCGUGAGAGCGCGGACCCCCACACUGGCACUGAGAUACGGGCCAGACUCCUACGGGAGGCAGCAGUAAGGGAUAUUGCGCAAUGGACGAAAGUCAGACGCAGCGACGCCGCGUGGGCGAUGAAGGCCUUCGGGUUGUAAAGCCCUUUUAUGGGGGAAGAGAAAAAGGACGGUACCCCAGGAAUAAGUCCCGGCUAACUACGUGCCAGCAGCCGCGGUAAAACGUAGGGGACAAGCGUUAUCCGGAUUCACUGGGCGUAAAGAGCGUUGAGGCGGUUCCGUAAGUUGGGCGUGAAAGCUCCGGGCUUAACUCGGAGAUGUCGUUCAAUACUGCGGGGCUUGAGGACAGCAGAGGAAGGUGGAAUUCCCGGUGUAGUGGUGAAAUGCGUAGAUAUCGGGAGGAACACCCGUGGCGAAGGCGGCCUUCUGGGCUGUUCCUGACGCUGAAGGCGAAAGCUAGGGGAGCGAACGGGAUUAGAUACCCCGGUAGUCCUAGCUGUAAACGAUGGAUGCUGGGUGUGGGGGGUGUAAAUUCCCUCUGUGCCGAAGCAAACGCGUUAAGCAUCCCGCCUGGGGACUACGGCCGCAAGGCUAAAACUCAAACGAAUUGACGGGGGCCCGCACAAGCAGCGGAGCGUGUGGUUUAAUUCGAUGCUACACGAAGAACCUUACCUGGGUUUGACAUGCACGUGGUAGGGAACCGAAAGGGGACCGACCUUCGGGAGCGUGCACAGGUGCUGCAUGGCUGUCGUCAGCUCGUGCCGUGAGGUGUCGGGUUAAGUCCCGUAACGAGCGCAACCCUUGCCCUUAGUUACAAGUGUCUAAGGGGACUGCCCGGGACAACUGGGAGGAAGGUGGGGAUGACGUCAAGUCAGCAUGGCCUUUAUAUCCAGGGCUACACACACGCUACAAUGGCCGGUACUAUAGGUUGCGAAGUCGUGAGGCGGAGCCAAUC